rnacentral:rRNA from 1 species
AGCGAACGUUUGCGGCGGGCUUAACACAUGCAAGUCGAGCGGAGACUUCGGUCUUAGCGGCGAACGGGUGAGUAAUACCUAGGAAUCUGCCUAUUAGUGGGGGAUAACGAAUCGAAAGGUUCGCUAAUACCGCAUACGUCCUACGGGAGAAAGGGGGGGAGUCUUCGGACCUCUCGCUAAUAGAUGAGCCUAGGCCGGAUUAGCUAGUUGGUAGGGUAAAGGCCUACCAAGGCGACGAUCUGUAGCUGGUCUGAGAGGAUGGCCAGCCACACUGGAACUGAGACACGGUCCAGACUCCUACGGGAGGCAGCAGUGGGGAAUAUUGGACAAUGGGGGCAACCCUGAUCCAGCCAUGCCGCGUGUGUGAAGAAGGCC